rnacentral:rRNA from 1 species
AUGAACGCUAGCGACAGGCUUAACACAUGCAAGUCGAGGGGCAGCACAGGUAGCAAUACCGGGUGGCGACCGGCGCACGGGUGAGUAACGCGUAUGCAACUUGCCUAUCAGAGGGGGAUAACCCGGCGAAAGUCGGACUAAUACCGCAUGAAGCAGGGAUCCCGCAUGGGAAUAUUUGCUAAAGAUUCAUCGCUGAUAGAUAGGCAUGCGUUCCAUUAGGCAGUUGGCGGGGUAACGGCCCACCAAACCGACGAUGGAUAGGGGUUCUGAGAGGAAGGUCCCCCACAUUGGUACUGAGACACGGACCAAACUCCUACGGGAGGCAGCAGUGAGGAUAUUGGUCAAUGGCCGAGAGGCUGAACCAGCCAAGUCGCGUGAGGGAUGAAGGUUCUAUGGAUCGUAAACCUCUUUUAUAAGGGAAUAAAGUGCGGGACGUGUCCCGUUUUGUAUGUACCUUAUGAAUAAGGAUCGGCUAACUCCGUGCCAGCAGCCGCGGUAAUACGGAGGAUCCGAGCGUUAUCCGGAUUUAUUGGGUUUAAAGGGUGCGUAGGCGGCCUUUUAAGUCAGCGGUGAAAGUCUGUGGCUCAACCAUAGAAUUGCCGUUGAAACUGGGGGGCUUGAGUAUGUUUGAGGCAGGCGGAAUGCGUGGUGUAGCGGUGAAAUGCAUAGAUAUCACGCAGAACCCCGAUUGCGAAGGCAGCCUGCCAAGCCAUUACUGACGCUGAUGCACGAAAGCGUGGGGAUCAAACAGGAUUAGAUACCCUGGUAGUCCACGCAGUAAACGAUGAUCACUAGCUGUUUGCGAUACACUGUAAGCGGCACAGCGAAAGCGUUAAGUGAUCCACCUGGGGAGUACGCCGGCAACGGUGAAACUCAAAGGAAUUGACGGGGGCCCGCACAAGCGGAGGAACAUGUGGUUUAAUUCGAUGAUACGCGAGGAACCUUACCCGGGUUUGAACGCAUUCGGACCGAGGUGGAAACACCUUUUCUAGCAAUAGCCGUUUGCGAGGUGCUGCAUGGUUGUCGUCAGCUCGUGCCGUGAGGUGUCGGCUUAAGUGCCAUAACGAGCGCAACCCUUGCCACUAGUUACUAACAGGUAAAGCUGAGGACUCUGGUGGGACUGCCAGCGUAAGCUGCGAGGAAGGCGGGGAUGACGUCAAAUCAGCACGGCCCUUACAUCCGGGGCGACACACGUGUUACAAUGGCGUGGACAAAGGGAAGCCACCUGGCGACAGGGAGCGAAUCCCCAAACCACGUCUCAGUUCGGAUCGGAGUCUGCAACCCGACUCCGUGAAGCUGGAUUCGCUAGUAAUCGCGCAUCAGCCAUGGCGCGGUGAAUACGUUCCCGGGCCUUGUACACACCGCCCGUCAAGCCAUGGGAGCCGGGGGUACCUGAAGUCCGUAACCGCGAGGAUCGGCCUAGGGUAAAACUGGUGACUGGGGCU